ACACCACAGCUCACGGCAAUGCCGGAUCCUUAACCCACUGAGCAAGGCCAGGGAUCGAACCCACAACCUCAUGGUUCCUAGUCGGAUUCGUUAACCACUGAGCCACGACAGAAACUCCAGAGUUCACAUUCUAAUAGACUGACAGUGAAAAAGAUUUUAAGUAAAAUAAAAAAUGAGAGAAGGGAUCGAGAGAGUGCGGAACCCAGGAAGGUAGGUUGCAGUAUUAAAUAUGACAGGGAAGUCCUCACAUUUGAACAAAGACUAGAGGAAGUAAGGUGUGUAAAUAACCAAGGGAGAGGGAACAUCAUGAGCAAAGGUAUGUGGCUGAUGUGUUUGAGAUAAAACAAGAAGCCCUGUGUGCCUAGAGUCCUGUAAACUGGAGAUUGGCACCUGCCAUCUGCCUCUGUGUGGAUUGACUCAGGAGCUGCAGAUCCUCAACAUCCCUUGAAAGGAGUUCAAGGUGGAAAUCAGGAGUGAGGCAUCUUGUGCUCUGGGAAAACUGGCGGAACAUGUCCUCAGAUAGAUAUUUUCGUGAGAAGCUUUUAUGAGCCUAAUUCUUGCAUUUCCUCAUUAGCUAGAAAAGCACUAAAAUCCUUCGUGAUGAUGUCUGCUCCUCAUGACUAGCAGUAGCCUUCUGUAAAAUGUGUGCCUGGUUGUAUGCGCCUCUCCCUUCUCCAAAAUCACAUACAUCCUGACAUCCCCUUCGACCUCUUGGGAGUGGUAUUUCAGAGCUAUCUGAAAUAUUGCCUCCCAGGCUAUAGUUCUCAUUUGCCCCAAAUAAAACUUAACUCUCAACUUUUAAGUUGUGAAUAUUCUUAAGUUGACAGUGGAAUAAGUUAGAGAAAGGAAAAUGAGGUGGGAUCAGAAAAUGGGGAUGCAAGAUUUUGUAAGGUUUUGGAGGCUAUUGCAACAACUUGAGCUUAGUCUCAGAGUGCUAGGAAACCAUUGGUAAUUUUAUGUUUCAUGGCCACACCCAUGACAUACAGAAGUUCCCAGGCCAAGGAAUGAAUUCAAGCCUCAGCUGUGGCAACACGAGAUCCUUUAACCCACUGCUCUGGGCUGAGGAUCCAACCUGCACCUCUUCAGUGACGAGCUGCUGCCAAAAAUUCUUAACCCACUGCAUCACAGUGGGAACUCCCCAUUGGAACGUUUUGAGCUAAGGAAUCAAAACUAGAAGGGAGGAAAAUGAGGACAUGAAAGUUAAAGACAGUAAAAAAUGAAGUAGAAUGAACGCUUUUGUGAAAGAGACAACUGUGGCUUAGAACAGGGUGGUAGCAACAGAGGUGGUGAGGAGUGAUUGGGUGUUACUAAAGGACAAUACUUUGGGUAUGUGUGAGGGACUUCAAGGUUGAUGCUACGAUAUUUUAUCUUAGAAACUAGAAAGUUGGAGUUGACAUUUAUUGAUACUGCAAAGUCUUGGGGAAUGGCAGGAUCAAGAUUUUUGUGUCUGCAUUGCUGCUCAUCAAAAAUAUGUAGUCCAAGAAUUGGUCAAUGUGGAGACCACUAAUGACAUUCAUGUGAGCAGACUCAGGAUUCAAAAGCCUAAUUGGAGGGGGUUCAAGCGCAAAUGGGAAGAGAGCAGUGGUAAGUGGUGAGAACAAGCAAAUAUUUCCAGGGGUUUUUCUGUAAAGGGUGGUAGAGAAUUGGGGGCACCAUCCAGAAGAGGAUAUAGGACUAAGAGAUGGGGGAGGUUGGGGAGGGAGGACUCAAAGUUCAUUAUAACAUAUGCACAUGCUAAUGGGAAAUAAUACAGUCAGGGAGAAAAUCUUAAUGCAAGAGAGAAUGGGAAGAGUUGCUGGCGUUAUGUCCUAAAAUGGGUAGGAUGGGAUGGGUUCCAGAAGUAAAGGUGUGGGCCUUGGUUUGAGGACAGUUUAUCUGUAGGAACCAGUAGAAAGAUGUUCAAGAGUGUACGUUGUGAAAAUGCAUGGGCGCUUAUGAAAUUUCUCUCUCCAUUGUUUCCGUUUUCUCAGUGAGAAGAGGAAGCAAGUUCAUCAGCUGAGUAAAGCCAGUGGCUUGAUGCAGGAUCUCAGUUACCAAAUAAGGGACUGAACUCGUGCCACAGCAGUAAGAGUGCCUGAUCCUAACCAUCAAACCACCGUGGAACUCCCUCAGAUUUUAACUUUUACUCUCGAAUGAGAAGUAUCCCAAAGUCUGGUUUCAAGACAGACCAAGAACCAGAUGUAUACAUUGGUGUGGAUAGGGAGAUCUCAAGAAGAAGCCCUCUAGUUCAAGCUGAAUGAGCAAGAAAGUCUACUGGCAGCAACAGUCAUGGCAGCCGGAAUCCACAAGCAUCUAAUGCACUAAGGAAGAGGAACUCUCUUCUCUGACCAGAGGAACUGUGGUCACAAGAAGGCGACAAGAACCCCUGUUGCUUUUUUUCCUCUGUGGCCCGUAGAUGAAAAUAGAUGGCCAUAGGGGGAAAUCUCUGAAAAGCUGGUACAAGUUUCGUUUUGGUCCUGAAGUUGGUUAUAGUUGCAGGAACUGUGUGACAGAGCAGGGUAAAUAAAAUCCCAGCUUUCCAGCACCAUGAAAGGGAGCCACAGGGAGCAGAUACUGAGAAAAGAGUGUAGAAGAGUGUAUAGAGGGAGGAGCUCGAGAAAGCAACAUCAUAAGCUUAUUUAUAAAUUCCUGGGCUCAUCCUGGAGUUGCACAUACAUGGAUCUGUUCCUUAAUAGCAAAUCAAAGACUUUGAUAACUGAACUGAGAGAUCCAGGUCCCAGACUGGCCAUUAGAUGUGGGACAAAUUUGCAUAGCUUGGCAAAUGUUUUGAAACAAGACUGCCACUGAAACCACAACUCAUAGAAAGCUGUCUGAAACUGAUGAAUCCAAUAAGUCACCUGGUUGCUAUACAAAAAUAUAGUGUCCAUAAGAUUUAAACAAGAAAUAUGUAUUUCUAUUUAAUAGCAAUAGCCAGUUAGAAUCAAAAUUUUUAAAGUAAUAUUUAUGAUAUCUCAAAAAGAAAUAUACAUUAAUUUAAUAAAACAGGUACUGGAUUUGUAUUCUGAAAACUAUAAAACACGAAUUAAAGAAAUCAAAGAAAACCUAAAUUAAUGGCAACAUGGCAACAUUCAAUGUUUUUUGGAUUGGAAGACACAAAAUAGUAAUGAUGUCAAUUUUCCUCAAAUCAAUCUACAGAUUCGAAGCAAGACUACAAUAAAAAAUCUCAGCAGCAUGUUUACUGGACAUGGACAAUCUAUAUUCUAAAAUUCAAUCAAGACUAUGAUAUUAAGCAAAAAAAAAAAAGACAUAUAAGUCAGUGAAACGGAAUAGAGAGAACAGAAACAGAACUACACAAAUAAGGCCAACUGAUUUUUUAUAAAGAUGGAAAGCCAAUUCAAUAGAGAAAGAAUAGGCUUCAAAAAAAUGGAACAAUCAGAUAUCCAUUUAAAAAAGAACUUUGAUCUAAAUUUCACGCUUAUUACAAAAGUUAACAAAAUGGAUCAAAGAUGUAAAAAUAAAGUUCAGAACUAUAUAACUUUUAGAAGUAAACAUAAGAGAAAUUCUUCAUGACUUGAGAUUAGACAAGGAGGUCUUAGAUAUGACAUAUGAUUAUACAUCCACUAAAAAUGAUAAAUUGGACUUUAUGUUAAAUUUUAAUUGCUCUUCGAAAGACACCAUUACAAUAAUGAAAAGAUAAGCUAUACACUCAGAGAAAAUGUUUUUAAAUUUAUAUCUGAUAAAGGACUUAUGUCCAGAAUACAUAGAGAAUUGUCAGAAGUAAAACAACCCAGUUAAGAAAUGGGCAUUGGCACAUCGUUGUAAAUCAACCAUACUUUAAUUAAAAAGUAAUAAAUAUUUUUUUCAAAAAUAAAUGGGCAAAGGACUUGAACAGACACUUCACCAAAGAGGAUAUUUGUAACUAUAAGUAUACAAUAAAGGACAAAUUAAUGUAAGAGAGUAGCUUAGAUCUAUUAGAAAUUGUGGCAAUGGAUAAAUUCUAGACAGAAUUAAGAUACAUGAAAAAUAAUGCAAAAAUAAAUUUGAUUUUCUUAAUCAUUUGGAGCAAAAAAUAAAGAAGCAAUAAGCCCUCUGCUAAGGGCAGAUGGUGUAAGGUUAACAGAUUAUAGAACAUGGAACUAUUAUGCCUCCAUUUUAUCUUUUACUUUAUAUGAGUGAAAAUGGUGAGUUACAAAAACAGAAUGUACAUAUAAUUUAAUUUUAGAUGACAGAAACACAUAUGUAUGUGCAUAGAAAGAAUAUGAGAAGGACAACUAUAUCUGAUCACUUGUGAUGAAACAUGAUGGAGGAUAAUAUGAAAAAAAGAAUGCAUAUGGAUGUAUGGCUGGGUUAUUUUUCUGUGCAUCAGAAAUUGACGGAACAUUGUAAAUCAACUAUAAUAAAAAAUUUUUAAAAAAA